rnacentral:lncRNA from 1 species
AACGACCCAAAUUCAUUAUUUAGAAUCAAUUAGCUAUCUAUGAUUUAUUUUGUGAAUUAAUAUUUAUUAUGUGGUUUCUAGUUAUUAAUAGAAAGAGUAGAGAAUGAGUAGUAAAUAAUAACACUAGUUAUUGAGUAGAGUAAAAGAGAAGAGUUAUGUUAGAAUUGGUAUUGGGCUUUGUUAUUGGGCUUGGGUUAGAAUUAACCUAAGUAUAUAAGGUUAAGUUAGAGAGAGAGAAUCAUUUUGCCAAAGAAAAGAGAAGGAGGUAGAAAGAGAAAGAGUAGAGAAGAGAAGAGUAGAGAAAAGAAGAGAAAACCUAGAGAUUCAAAUGAAGGACCAAAGAAUUCAUCUUUCUAAGGUAAGAGAGUUAAUUAUAUAAUCUAGAGUGAGAAUAGAGAGGGAAGAUUGUCUAUAUCUCUAAUCCCAAACUCUCUACACUCUUUUCUAUUUGGGGAUUUGGGGAGAAUUCAUGGGAAUGUGUUUAUCUACAUGAUUAUAUGUUGGUGUAUGGAUUUGGAUGUUUAUUCAUGUUUGAUAAAUGAAUUACUAUGAUAAAAAUUGAUAUUUGUGUGUUGUUAUUAUCAUUUGAGUAUUUUACCAAAUUGAUGAAUAUGAUGAAAUCCAUACUUGUUAAUAACAUUGUUGUUUAUGUGAGUUUUGUGUGAAAAUGGAUUUAUAUGAUUGUUAUGAACUUUGAUGAAUGAAUCUUGUAUGAUUGAUGUAGAAAUGAUGUUAGUUAAGGUUCAAAUAUCAUGGAUUAUGAUUAGGGAAGCUUUUGGU